rnacentral:rRNA from 1 species
AUUCCAGCUCCAAUAGCGUAUAUUAAAGUUGUUGCAGUUAAAAAGCUCGUAGUUGGAUUUCGGGGCGGCCCGACUGGUCCGCCGCGAGGUGAGCACUGGUCGGCCGCCCUUCCUCUCGGAAGCCCCGACUGCUCUUCGUUGCAGUGGUCGGGGAGUUCGGGACGUUUACUUUGAAAAAAUUAGAGUGUUCAAGGCAGGCCUUCGCCUGAAUACAUUAGCAUGGAAUAAUGGAAGAGGACUUCGGUCCCGUUUUGUUGGUUUCUUGGACCGAAGUAAUGAUUAAGAGGGACAGUUGGGGGCAUUCGUAUUUAAUUGUCAGAGGUGAAAUUCUCGGAUUUAUGAAAGACGAACGACUGCGAAAGCAUUUGCCAAGGAUGUUUUCAUUA